AUGGAAAUACUACAGUAUGGGAUUCUGCUGAUGAUUGUUUCAUAUGUUAGUGGUCAGUCAUUGACAUCUUCUGAAUCUGUGAUGAAGAAACCUGGAGAAUCAGUCACUCUGUCCUGUACUGUGUCUGGAUUCUCUUUGACUAGCUGGUGGACGCACUGGAUCCGUCAGAAACCACAGAGAGGACUGGAAUGGAUUGGACGAAUUGAUAGUGGCACUGGCACUGUUUUUGCUCAGUCUCUUCAGGGUCAAUUCUCCAUUACUAAAGACACCAGCAAAAACACACUGUACCUGCAGAUAAAAAGCCUAAAGGCUGAGGACACAGCUGUGUAUUAUUGUGCAAGAGACUCACAGUAA